rnacentral:misc_RNA from 1 species
UUUUCUUCAAUUUGUCCUGCACACGAUAUCUCUCACGCCGUUCUUCUCUCUGGCGCUUUCUUGACAAUUGCUCGUCCUUGGCUUUCUCUGCUUCGUAUUCUUUUCUCUUCUGCUCUUCCCUAAGCUUUCGCUUCUUCAUCUUCUCAUGUCUGAUCCUUUGAAGGUGUUGAACAAGACUAUGAAGUUUUCGCUCUCGAGAAUCCAUGACAACGGCUCUUCUAUUUUCAAGAAGAGGCCGUUUCUGACUGGGUAUAUCCUUUGGUUUGGAUUCAAAUGGAAGUGCUGCCUGUAAUGACUUAGGUAUCACCAAUGGGUUGAACUUCUUUGGCUUUCUUUCAAUAGGCUUGUACUGUGAAUCCUUGUUAGCAGGAACAGGGAGAUUGUGUUCCCUCCUUAAUUCAGCCACCGUUUUCAUUCCCUGCCAGGUCUUACCACGAGGUUGCAAUGAAGUAGUCAAUGGGUUAUAGAACUGAGGAACUUCAACUUGAGUCCAUGCACGCAGAAAAACAAUGUCACUCAUCAAAAUCCUGUCCUCAAAGGUGCACCGGGCAAUUCCCUCUCUUGGUGCCCCUCCCUUCUUUCUGGGCUGAUUACCUAUUUCAUCUUUUGCAGCCUUUUUCACCUGCCCCCGUAUCCCACUGACAGUUCGAAUAGCAGCACCUUCAAACCGAGCUACUUCAAGAUCAGAAGUAAACAUAUUUGUGAUCAGUGCAGUCUUCUUGAAUAUCUUACAUGGAUAACCAACUAGCUUGACUUUCUUCAUUAUCUUUGCUGCAUGAUUGAACUCGAGUACAACUGCAGUUGCAGUUAUUCGAAAUGCUGCCUGAAUGUUAGAUAAAUUCUGGACAGCAACCACCCCGGUGUGGGGAGGGGCAAGAGGACCCCAGAACAUGGCAAGACAAUGCAUGUGUUCUGGAGUGUACUUGAGCAUGCGAUGCCUUCCAUUUUGAUCUUCAAUUGCAUAGACAGGUGUAGUUUGGUAACGCCUCCAACCAAUAGACACAAUUAUAGGGUCUCUAGUCUUUAGUACCUUCCUGUGCCAUCUGUGCCGUUUUAACCUUGUCUGCAUGUAUCCAACAUUUUCCUCACCAAAACCAAUUCCUCCAACCAGGAUUGGAUGGCAGGGAUCAAAAUGUUCAACCAUCUCGAAAGGAACAUCAUGAACCUCUAAUCUUAGAUACAUCCCAGUAUGGAAGCCCUCAAUGUCUAAUCGAGUUUCCUCGUCUAGGUCAUUGAGUUCAGCAAUAUUCCUUUUUUUACGGAGUUCAAUCUCCUCCUUCAACUUGUCGAAAA